GUCUGAAUAUGGGGGGACCAUCCUCCAAGGCUAAAUACUCCUGACUGACCGAUAGUGAACCAGUACCGUGAGGGAAAGGCGAAAAGAACCCCGGCGAGGGGAGUGAAAAAGAACCUGAAACCGUGUACGUACAAGCAGUGGGAGCACGCUUAGGCGUGUGACUGCGUACCUUUUGUAUAAUGGGUCAGCGACUUAUAUUCUGUAGCAAGGUUAACCGAAUAGGGGAGCCGAAGGGAAACCGAGUCUUAACUGGGCGUUAAGUUGCAGGGUAUAGACCCGAAACCCGGUGAUCUAGCCAUGGGCAGGUUGAAGGUUGGGUAACACUAACUGGAGGACCGAACCGACUAAUGUUGAAAAAUUAGCGGAUGACUUGUGGCUGGGGGUGAAAGGCCAAUCAAACCGGGAGAUAGCUGGUUCUCCCCGAAAGCUAUUUAGGUAGCGCCUCGUGAAUUCAUCUCCGGGGGUAGAGCACUGUUUCGGCAAGGGGGUCAUCCCGACUUACCAACCCGAUGCAAACUGCGAAUACCGGAGAAUGUUAUCACGGGAGACACACGGCGGGUGCUAACGUCCGUCGUGAAGAGGGAAACAACCCAGACCGCCAGCUAAGGUCCCAAAGUCAUGGUUAAGUGGGAAACGAUGUGGGAAGGCCCAGACAGCCAGGAUGUUGGCUUAGAAGCAGCCAUCAUUUAAAGAAAGCGUAAUAGCUCACUGGUCGAGUCGGCCUGCGCGGAAGAUGUAACGGGGCUAAACCAUGCACCGAAGCUGCGGCAGCGACGCUUAUGCGUUGUUGGGUAGGGGAGCGUUCUGUAAGCCUGUGAAGGUGUGCUGUGAGGCAUGCUGGAGGUAUCAGAAGUGCGAAUGCUGACAUAAGUAACGAUAAAGCGGGUGAAAAGCCCGCUCGCCGGAAGACCAAGGGUUCCUGUCCAACGUUAAUCGGGGCAGGGUGAGUCGACCCCUAAGGCGAGGCCGAAAGGCGUAGUCGAUGGGAAACAGGUUAAUAUUCCUGUACUUGGUGUUACUGCGAAGGGGGGACGGAGAAGGCUAUGUUGGCCGGGCGACGGUUGUCCCGGUUUAAGCGUGUAGGCUGGUUUUCCAGGCAAAUCCGGAAAAUCAAGGCUGAGGCGUGAUGACGAGGCACUACGGUGCUGAAGCAACAAAUGCCCUGCUUCCAGGAAAAGCCUC
rnacentral:rRNA from 1 species